AGCAAGAAAACUUGGAACAACAUUGCAGCUGGUGCUUGCUCGCAUGAGACAGUGCAGCUCUAGCCAAGCAAUGAGCUCUGCCAUUACCCACUGCAAGGACAGAUUACAAUCCUGCUGUAACAAUGCCCUGCAAUCCUUUAUGACUGUGCCAUGCUCAGACCAAUUAUCUUCAAAGGAAACAAUCGCAAAGAAAACCUCCUUUCAUUCAAGAUAAUGAGAAAUACAGUUUCUCUUUCAAUUCUCUGUUUGGAUAUCAAAGUUCAUAUGUUAUCAAAGUGGGUACAGUAGCUUGUAGAAUCGAUUGCGUGUUUCUGUUAGCCAUUGAAAGUGAAAUUUGAAGAUGAAGGAGAGUAAUGCAGCAAGAGAUCAAAGCAUUAUGAAUUUCUUCGAGGAAUCAUUAAAGAAUCAUGAAACAAUUGAUGAUCAAUUUGUAUUGCAAAGCUCGGAUCACCCAAGGAUGGUCCUUGUUUCAGCGCAAUUAACAAGGAAGAAUUACAGAUCGUGAAGUAGGGCAAUGAAGAUUGUUCUUGGUGCCAAAAACAAAUUAGGUUUUGUUAAUGCCAAAAUUGAAGCUCCAGAGGAAGGAUCUGAGGGGUUUGAAAGAUGGAAGGGGUGUGACUACAUGGUCGCAUCCUGGUUGUGGAACUCUAUUACAAAGGAUCUGGUUGGGGGAUUUCUCUAUGCGACGUCCUUGAAGGAGCUAUGGGAUGAAAUUUCAGAGAGGUUCGGUGGGAGUAACGGGCCAAUGAUAUAUCAGAUCAAGAGAAGGAUAUCAUUACUGAUGCAAGAUGGAUUAUCCAUUACCAGUUAUUAUACAAAAUUGAAGGAACUUUGGUAUGAACUGGAAAAUAUUAGAGUAAUUCUGUCAUGUACAUGUGGAUCUGUGAAGAUUUCAACAGAGGUGGAUAACUGUGAUAAGUUGAUGCAAUUUCUUAUGGGGCUUAAUGGUGCCUAUGAUCAGGUAAGAAGCCAAAUCCUCCUUCAUGAUCCCUUACCAAGUGUAAUCAAAGCCUAUUCUAUGGUUUUGCGGAUUGAAACUCCUAGAGAGGUUCAAUUGAAUAUUGCUAAAACUGUAGAUGCAACAGCUCUAGUUGUGAAAUCACAAGGAACUCGAAAAGAUUUUAAGAAGUAUGAUCCUAGAAAAGGUCAUUGUAAUUACUGCAAUAUGGAUGGGCAUACUAGGGCUGGUUGUUUCAAAUUGAUUGGGUAUCCGGAGUGGUUUAAAGCUAAAAACAAGAAUCAGAGUUCACAUCAACAGAACAAAAUAGUUGCACAAGUUGAAAGUAAAGUGCAAUCUGCUGACCAUUUUGUUUCUGAUUCACCUUGGGAUAAAGGUUAUUUUACUGAGAUGAGCAAAUAUGAAGAUCUUAGUAUAAGCUGGAGAGUUUACAAAUGGAAAUGCAAAGAAUGGCCAAAGGGAAGUCCAUAGCCAUGAAUGUCGCAUCAAUACCUUCAGACCAUCAGUCCAUGAUGAGUUCCACAAGUUUUGCUGGACCAGAAGACUAAAGCAGUGGUAGCCAUUGGGAAAGAGCAUGAAGGACUUUACAUUCUGGAUAAGUCUAGUUUUCUUUCAUCCACCAUUCAGUUUUAUCAUUCAAAAGUAAAACAUUUGCUUGAUUCCCUUGCUUUGAACUCUGUAAAUACCAGCUUCUCUAGUGCCAUUGACAAAGUCAAAUCUGCCCUGCAUGAUAAAUUCACUGUCAAAGAACUUGGUUUCAUGAAAUAUUUCCUUGGUUUGGGGGUAGUUCAAUCAGAAACUGGUACCUUUAUCAGCCGAAGGAAAUUUAUCUUAGAUGUUUUGAAGGACACUGGCAUGACAGCAGCUAAAGCAGUGUCUAUGCCUCUUCAUAAGGGUCUUCACUUAGCACCAGAUGAUGGAGAGUUAUUGGCAGAUCCUGAUAAGUUUUGAAGACUUAUUGGGAGACUUUUAUGUGUGAACAUCACCAGGCCUGAUAUUACUUACUCUGUGCAACAUUUGACGUUCAUGGCCGCUGCUAGGAAGCCCCAUUGGGAUGCAGCAUUACAUUUGCUUCUUUAUCUCAAAUCUUGUCCUUCCAAGGGACUUUAUUUCCUUGUGCAUUCUGAUCUUAAGCUCAGCACAUUUUGUGAUGUAGAUUGGGGUUGUGUAUUUUCUCGCAAGUCACGGGGUUUGCAUUUUUCUUGGAGAUGCUAUGAUUAGUUGGAAAACAAAGAAGCAGAACACUGUUUCUAAAAGUUCUGCUGAAGCUGAAUACCAUAGUAUGGCUACUACUGUUUGUGAAUUGUUAUGGAUUUCUUAUAUUCUUUGUGAUUUGCAGGUCAUUGUUUAGCUUCCUCUCUCCUUGAAGUGUAAUAAUUAAGCAGCUAUUCAUAUAGCUAAUAACCCUGUUUUUCAUGAAAGGACUAAGCAUUUGGA